rnacentral:rRNA from 1 species
CAGUAGCCGCGGGAAAACGGAGGCUGCAAGCGUUAAUCGGAAUUACUGGGCGUAAAGCGCACGCAGGCGGUUUGUUAAGUCAGAUGUGAAAUCCCCGAGCUUAACUUGGGAACUGCAUUUGAAACUGGCAAGCUAGAGUCUUGUAAAGGGGGGUAGAAUUCCAGGUGUAGCGGUGAAAUGCGUAGAGAUCUGGAGGAAUACCGGUGGCGAAGGCGGCCCCCUGGACAAAGACUGACGCUCAGGUGCGAAAGCGUGGGGAGCAAACAGGAUUAGAUACCCCGGUAGUCCCUGUCUCUUAUAA